AACGAACGCUGGCGGCAUGCCUAACACAUGCAAGUCGAACGAGACCUUCGGGUCUAGUGGCGCACGGGUGCGUAACGCGUGGGAACCUGCCCUUAGGUUCGGAAUAACUCCCCGAAAGGGGUGCUAAUACCGGAUAAUGUCUUCGGACCAAAGAUUUAUCGCCUUUGGAUGGGCCCGCGUUGGAUUAGCUAGUUGGUAGGGUAAAAGCCUACCAAGGCGACGAUCCAUAGCUGGUAUGAGAGGAUGAUCAGCCACACUGGGACUGAGACACGGCCCAGACUCCUACGGGAGGCAGGAGUGGGGAAUAUUGGACAGUGGGCGAAAGCCUGAUCCAGCAAUGCCGCGUGAGUGAUGAAGGCCUUAGGGUUGUAAAGCUCGUUUACCCGGGAUGAUAAUGACAGUACCGGGAGAAUAAGCGCCGGCUAACUCCGUG
rnacentral:rRNA from 1 species